UGAGCAAUCUGCCCUUCUCAUCGGAAUAACCAUUGGAAACGACGUCUAAUGCCGAAUACGACCUCCUUUCGCAUGAUCGGAGGUGGAAAGCUCCGGCGGAGAAGGAUGAGCUCGCGGCCUAUCAGCUAGUUGGUGUGGGUAAUGGCCCACCAAGGCGACGACGGGUAGCCGGCCUGAGAGGGUGACCGGCCACACUGGGACUGAGACACGGCCCAGACUCCGUACGGGAGCAG
rnacentral:rRNA from 1 species